AGAGUUUGAUCCUGGCUCAGGAUGAACGCUGGCGGCGUGCCUAAUACAUGCAAGUCGAACGAGAAUCCACGGCUUCGGUCGUGGAGGAGAGUGGCGCACGGGUGCGUAACACGUAGCUGACCUGCCCUUCGCAGGGGGAUAACACAGCGAAAGUUGUGCUAAUACCGCGUAGGCUGGUGGCGGUUAGAGAGCCAUCAGUAAAGCUUUAGGCGGCGAAGGAGGGGGCUGCGGUCCAUCAGCUCGCUGGUGAGGUAACGGCUCACCAGGGCGACGACGGAUAGGGGGCCUGAGAGGGUGACCCCCCACACUGGAACUGAGACACGGUCCAGACUCCUACGGGAGGCAGCAGUAAGGAAUAUUGCACAAUGGGCGCAAGCCUGAUGCAGCAACGCCGCGUGAGGGAUGAAGGGUUUCGGCUCGUAAACCUCUUUUCUGUGUGAAGAGCAAGGACGGUAGCACAGGAAUAAGUCUCGGCUAACUACGUGCCAGCAGCCGCGGUAAAACGUAGGAGGCGAGCGUUAUCCGGAAUUACUGGGCGUAAAGCGCACGUAGGGCGGCGCUGCAAGUGGUGCGUG
rnacentral:rRNA from 1 species